rnacentral:tRNA from 1 species
GGGGUUGUGGCUCAGUGGUAGAGCGCUUGCCUAGCAUGUAUGAGGCCCUGGGUUCGAUCCUUAGCAUCACAU